UUCUGCUCUAAUUGCACAUUUAAAGCUUCCAUGUGGCAGCAGGUGGCAGAAGUUGUUUCUCAUGGCUGGGACCAUUAUGUGAUUGGUUGAGAGAUGGAGAGAUGGAGAGAUUCAAUUGCAAAAAUUCAUUAUCAUGGGUCAUCAAAGAGAGCCAAGACAAAGAAGCUUUCAUCCAUUUCUAUGCUCUACUAACAACCAUAAUAAAUUUGGCAGUGAGAAAACUGUAUCAGCUUUAAGCGAAGGCCAUCUUUUUUGCCUUCGCUGCCUACAUAUAUAUACCAUUUCUUGGUUCCUUUGAAAUGUUCUUCUACAGCUUCUUAUCGAAGAAAAACAAUGGCAGGUGCACCACCUACACAAAGGAUGUCAUGCUGUGAUCAGGUCCAGAAGCGCAAGGAGGAGAAAGGCUGCUUCCAUUCUUGUUUGUUUGCAUUUUUCUGCUGCUGUUGCUGCUAUAAGACUUGUGAGCCUUGCUUAAACGGCGUCUGCUGUUGCUGCCCUUAGAUCUCUAUACUUCAAAAUAUGUGCUAUUGAUUGUAUGAGGAAAAUCAUGAGUUAUUAUGUGAAUCAUAAAAUAUGAUUCUUUUCA